UAAUACGUAGGUGGCAAGCGUUGUCCGGAUUUACUGGGCGUAAAGCGUAUGCAGGCGGAUGCCUAAGUAGGAAGUGAAAGGUUGGAGCUCAACUCUAACACUGCUCCCUAUACUGGGUGUCUUGAGUGCCGGAGAGGAAGACGGAACUGCACGUGUAGCGGUGAAAUGCGUUGAGAUGUGCAGGAACACCAAUGGCGAAAGCAGUCUUCUGGACGGAUACUGACGCUGAGAUACGAAAGCCAAGGGAGCGAACAGGAUUAGAUACCCUGGUAGUCUUGGCCAUAAACGAUGUUCACUAGGUGUCGGGGUUUUACCUCGGUGCCGCAGCUAACGCAUUAAGUGAACCGCCUGGGAACUACGGCCGCAAGGUUG
rnacentral:rRNA from 1 species